AGCAGUCGCCACGGUAAUACGAAGGGUGCAAGCGUUAAUCGGAAUUACUGGGCGUAAAGCGUGCGUAGGCGGUUUGUUAAGUCUGCUGUGAAAUCCCCGGGCUCAACCUGGGAAUGGCAGUGGAUACUGGCAAGCUAGAGUGUGUCAGAGGAUGGUGGAAUUCCCGGUGUAGCGGUGAAAUGCGUAGAGAUCGGGAGGAACAUCAGUGGCGAAGGCGGCCAUCUGGGACAACACUGACGCUGAGGCACGAAAGCGUGGGGAGCAAACAGGAUUAGAUACCCCUGUAGUCCCUGUCUCUUAUAC
rnacentral:rRNA from 1 species